GGGUCGUUAGCUCAGUUGGUAGAGCAGCGGACUUUUAAUCCGUUGGUCGCGUGUUCGAGUCACGCACGACCCACCA
rnacentral:tRNA from 4 species